GACGAACGCUGGCGGCGUGCUUAACACAUGCAAGUCGAACGAGUGGCGAACGGGUGAGUAACACGUGGGUGAUCUGCCUUGCACGUCGGGAUAAGCUUGGGAAACUGGGUCUUAUACCGGAUAGUGCAUGAUGAGCGCGCGGCCAAUCGGAACGUUGGUGGGGUAAUGGCUACCAAGGCGGGACGGGUCUCCGGCCUGGGAGGGUGUACGGGCACAAUGGGACUGAGAGACGGACCAGACUGCGACGGGAGGCAGCAGUGGGGAAUAUUGCACAAUGGGCGGAAGCGUGAUGCAGCGACGCUGCGUGGGGAAUGAAGGCCUUCGGGUUGUAAACUCCUUUAGACAAGGACGCGGUACCUGUAUAAGAAGCACCGGCUAACUACGUGCCAGCAGCCGCGGUAAUAC
rnacentral:rRNA from 1 species